rnacentral:rRNA from 1 species
CUUAGGAUGAACGGCUGGCGGCGUGCUUAAUACAUGCAAGUCGAACGAAGCACCUGCGACGGAUCCCUUCGGGGUGAAGAUGCUUGUGACUGAGUGGCGGACGGGUGAGUAACGCGUGGGUAACCUGCCUUAUGCAGGGGGACAACAGUUGGAAACGACUGCUAAUACCGCAUAAGCGCACGGCACCGCAUGGUGCAGUGUGAAAAGAUUUAUCGGCAUAAGAUGGACCCGCGUCUGAUUAGGUAGUUGGUGAGGUAACGGCCCACCAAGCCGACGAUCAGUAGCCGACUUGAGAGAGUGAUCGGCCACAUUGGGACUGAGACACGGCCCAGACUCCUACGGGAGGCAGCAGUAGGGAAUAUUGCACAAUGGGGGAAACCCUGAUGCAAGCGACGCCGCGUGAGUGAUGAAGUAUUUCGGUACGUAAAGCUCUAUCAGCAGGGAAGAUAAUGACGGUACCUGACUAAGAAGCCCCGGCUAACUACGUGCCAGCCGCCGC